rfam:Asian citrus Psyllid, Diaphorina citri - Florida Strain, whole genome shotgun sequence.
GCCUCGGUGGUGUAGUGGUCAAGACGCUCGCCUGGUAAACAGGAGGGCGUGGAUUCGAUCCCAGCCGAGGUA